rnacentral:rRNA from 1 species
UGGCGGCCGCCUAACACAUGCAAGUCGAGCGCUUCACUUCGGUGAGGAGCGGCGGACGGGUUAGUAACGCGUGGGAACAUACCCUUUUCUAAGGAAUAGCCACUGGAAACGGUGAGUAAUACCUNNUACGCCCUUCGGGGGAAAGAUUUAUCGGUGAAGGAUUGGCCCGCGUUAUAUUAGAUAGUUGGUGGGGUAAUGGCCUACCAAGUCUACGAUCUAUAGCUGGUUUGAGAGGAUGAUCAGCAACACUGGGACUGAGACACGGCCCAGACUCCUACGGGAGGCAGCAGUGGGGAAUCUUAGACAAUGGGCGCAAGCCUGAUCUAGCGAUGCCGCGUGAGUGAUGAAGGCCUUAGGGUCGUAAAGCUCUUUCGCCAGGGAUGAUAAUGACAGUACCUGGU